rnacentral:rRNA from 1 species
GACAUAGGUUGCGAACGUUAUCCGGAAUUAUUGGGCGUAAAGGAUGCGUAGAUGGUUUGAUAAGUUAUCAGUGGCAAAUCGGGGCUCAACCUCGUGGAAGUUGGUAAUACUGUCAUACUUCGUAGUCGAGGAGAGGUUAACGGAACUCUAUAUGGAGCGGUAAAAUGUGACGAUAUAUAGAAGAACACCAAUGGCGAAGGCAGUUAACUAUUCUGUUACUGACAUUGAGGCAUGAAAGCGUGGGGAGCAAAACGG